rnacentral:sRNA from 1 species
CCUAGUAAGCGUGAGUCAUCAGCUCGCGUUGAUUACGUCCCUGCCCUUUGUACACACCGCCCGUCGCUACUACCGAUUGAACGGCUUAGUGAGACUCUCGGAUUGGCUUAUGGUAGCUGGCAACAGCUUGCCGUUGGCUGAGAAGUUAAUCAAACUUGGUCGUUUAGAGGAAGUAAAAGUCGUAACAAGGUUUCCGUAGGUGAACCUGCGGAAGGAUCAUUGAAAAUGUACGGGAGACGUCGCUCUCGUUUCCAAAUUCUAAAUUUAUUCGUUUCCGAGUCUGACAUAUAUAUGUAUGCUAGAUUCAAAAAAAAAAAAAAAAAAAACCAAAAAAACUUUCAACAAUGGAUCUCUCGGCUCUUGCAUCGAUGAAGAACGCAGUGAAGUGCGAUAUGUAGUGUGAAUUGCAGAAUUCCGUGAAUCAUCGAAUCUUUGAACGCAUAUUGCACUCUCUGGUAUUCCGGAGAGUAUGCCUGUUUGAGGGUCAUUUGAAAUAAUAUAAAUUCCAAGAUUUCUCGGAAUUUAAAUUGGGUUGUCCAUUUUUUUGUGGUCGCCUAAAAUACAAGACAAGCUCAUUUCUUGGGUUGCGUGAUACUUUCAGUUACCUCGUGACAAUUAACAAGGAAUUUUCGGGCGUGUUAUGAAUUUUGCAAGAGAUGAAUUCGAUUUAUCUCGUGCGAAAUAUAAAUUGAAUCAUGACCUCAAAUUAGGUAGGAGUACCCGCUGAACUUAAGCAUAUCAAUAAGCGGAGGAAAAGAAACUAACAAGGAUUCCCUUAGUAACGGCGAGUGAAGCGGGAAUGGCACAAAUUUAAAAUCUGGCCAGUUUCUGGUCCGAAUUGUAAUCUAAAGAAGCGUUUUCCGCGUCCAGCUCGAGUAUAGGUCCCUUGGAAUAGGACAUCAUAGAGGGUGAGAAUCCCGUCUGUGACACGAGUUUGGAGGUGAUUCGAUACGCUUUCGACGAGUCGAGUUGUUUGGGAUUGCAGCUCAAAAUGGGUGGUAAAUUCCAUCUAAGGCUAAAUAAUGGCAAGAGACCGAUAGCGAACAAGUACCGUGAGGGAAAGAUGAAAAGGACUUUGAAAAGAGAGUUAAACAGUACGUGAAAUUGUUGAAAGGGAAACGAUUGAAGCCAGUCGUGCUGGCGGGAAAUCAGCUUCCGGGAUAACUGGGGGUGCACUUUCUCGUAAGGCAGGUUAGCAUCAAUUUUGUACGUCGUAAAAAGUCCGUCGGAAUGUGACUUCUUUCGGAGUGUUAUAGCCAGCGGUCAAUGCGAUGCGCGGGAUUGAGGAUUGCAGCGAGUGUCUUUUAGGCUAAGUGCCUGGCCCUUUGUUCGUGUUCGUCUCGGCAGCAGCGUGCUGGUGUCGGGAACGAUUCGUGGAUACGAGGUGUAGUGUCACGAUAAACUCGCUAAGGAUGCUAACGUAAUGGCUUUAAACGACCCGUCUUGAAACACGGAUCAAGGAGUCUAACAUG